CAACUGAGCCACCCAGGCACACCAAACUAUUUAACGAAAUCAAAUCCAAAGGCUCAAUCUGAGUCCCAGCUCACAAUUUGUGUUCUAUUGUCAUGCUAAAGCAGUAGGAGUCAACAAUAUGUAUGGUUUAAAACUCAUUAAUUAAAUACUUGGCAAUAAGAAAGAAUGAAAUCAUGCCAUUUUCAGCAACAUGGAUGGAACUGGAAGACGAAGCAUUCCACGUUUUCCCUCAAAGCUCACUUUCCUCUUGGGCAAAACAGAGGCUUGCAAGUCUUUAUUCAGACUGAGAACAAAAACCAAGAACCAAGAUACUCAACACAUUUGCAGCAAGCAAUUGCUCUAAGGUUGAGAGCACCUUCCAAAGACAGGAGACAAAACCAAAGUCUAGGAUUCAGGCCAAGAGACAGGCAAAAGAGAAGCCGCCACAGGGAUCAGGAACACUAGACAACACAGAGGAUUGUGAUGAAAUCAAAGCUGGGACAGGAAUUCUGCCUCCUUAUAUGGAAGGCCUGGCCAUUAACUUGACGGAGGUUGUGAUAGAGACUGCCUAUGUGCCUGUCCAUCUUAGGCCCUCUCCUUGGGCUAUGUAGAAAGACUACAUUUCUCAGGCCCUCUGACAGUGAGUGGCAAAUAUAGAACCUUCUUCGAAUGUU